rnacentral:rRNA from 1 species
AGUGAACGCUGGCGGUAGGCCUAACACAUGCAAGUCGAACGGCAGCACAGUAAGAGCUUGCUCUUACGGGUGGCGAGUGGCGGACGGGUGAGGAAUACAUCGGAAUCUACUUUUUCGUGGGGGAUAACGUAGGGAAACUUACGCUAAUACCGCAUACGACCUACGGGUGAAAGCAGGGGAUCUUCGGACCUUGCGCGAUUGAAUGAGCCGAUGUCGGAUUAGCUAGUUGGCGGGGUAAAGGCCCACCAAGGCGACGAUCCGUAGCUGGUCUGAGAGGAUGAUCAGCCACACUGGAACUGAGAAACGGUCCAGACUCCUACGGGAGGCAGCAGUGGGGAAUAUUGGACAAUGGGCGCAAGCCUGAUCCAGCCAUACCGCGUGGGUGAAGAAGGCCUUCGGGUUGUAAAGCCCUUUUGUUGGGGAAGAAAAGCAGCAGGUUAAUACCCCGCUGUUCUGACGGUACCCAAAGAAUAAGCACCGGCUAACUUCGUG